CGAUAAUUGGUUUAUAAAUAGAGUUUAUGAUUCAGGGAAUUCAGAGAGGCUGUUGUCCAGGGAUAAGCAAGAUCUGCCUAGCUGUGAAGAAUCUGAGGUUUUACCCUACUUAAAAGAUAACAUGCUUGCCUGACACGGUUUUGUGGUUGCUUGCAGAGGACUUUCCUUGAGGCAACACAAAGUGGAACAACGGAUCUGCACAGGCACUGGAUUGUAUUACAAGAGUGAAACCUGAAGAUUAGUGAUACCGGAUUUUCCAUAAUGGGCCAUAAUCAUGGCCACCCUUUUCUCCAGAGGGAGAUAGUACUGUCUUCCAAGGCUAUAAACAGACUUGCCAUUUCCCCUGAGUAAGAUACUAUGACUGUCUUCUAAGGCUAUUUACUCUACAAGCUUUUAUGAAAAGAUUGUCCAAAAAAAAAAAAAA